AGGAAUGCAAGCUUCAAAGAAUAAAAAUACAGAAGAGGCAGAACCAUUCUACAGGCUUUCAGUGCCAAAGCAGAAGACCAGUUCUGAGAUUAUAAAUGAAGCCAGAAAUGUUCUACGAACAGUAAGAACUCGGAGACCGUUUACACCUACAGAGGAUCAAAGGAAACUUUUUGGAUCUGGAUCCUUAGGAGCUCCUCAAAAUAGACCCCCUUCAGUUUUUAGUCUUCAUGCAUCCAGUUUUGAUUUGGCUGAAUCAAGACCAGUGUCUGGUGUUCGUCUUAGCCCACUGGAUCAUCCUCCUGCCGAUCCUACAGAGGUUAGAAAAGUCAGCAGUGCUCGGGCACGCUUAUUUAGAAGAACUUCUCAGGGAAAUUUCCUUUCUGCUAAAACGGUUCCUCCUGAUC